ACGAGAGAGAGGGAGCUUGCUUCCUCAAUCGAGUGGCGAACGGGUGAGUAACGCGUGAGGAACCUGCCUCAAAGAGGGGGACAACAGUUGGAAACGACUGCUAAUACCGCAUAAGCCCACAGGUCGGCAUCGACCAGAGGGAAAAGGAGCAAUCCGCUUUGAGAUGGCCUCGCGUCCGAUUAGCUAGUUGGUGAGGUAAUGGCCCACCAAGGCAACGAUCGGUAGCCGGACUGAGAGGUUGAACGGCCACAUUGGGACUGAGACACGGCCCAGACUCCUACGGGAGGCAGCAGUGGGGAAUAUUGCACAAUGGGGGAAACCCUGAUGCAGCGACGCCGCGUGGAGGAAGAAGGUCUUCGGAUUGUAAACUCCUGUUGUUGAGGAAGAUAAUGACGGUACUCAACAAGGAAGUGACGGCUAACUACGUGCCAGCAGCCGCGG
rnacentral:rRNA from 1 species